AACAUAAAAUUGUUAUCAAGGGAGAGAAAAAGUGGUGGAAAGAGUUGCAAUGGGAGGAUGAAGCAACUCUAAAUGCUUUUCUUCCUUGUUUCAAAUCUUUCUGAUAGAUCAAUAGCAAUCGUGAAUUUAUGAGGCGCUGCAAAAUGCUGUUGAAUGUGGCAUUAGAAGCUGUAGUUUGUGGUGCAAACCCUGUGGAAGCUAACCUCUCUAUCACUCAGCAGACAGCAAGACUAUGUAGCAUCAGAGAAUGAGCAUUCCUUACUUUCUUGCUUGUGUUGCAGCAUCUUGAAGGUUGAUAUAUAAACUUCAUUUAGUUUAUAUUGGCAUCUAUAUGUGUGGAGUCUUCUAGGGGAUGCUUUUCAACUGUUUUUUAGUCUUUACAUAUCCUUACAACACAAACUUCUUGAAACACUCUUUAGCCAUUCCAACACUUGCAGAAAAGAAAACCGGUGCCAGAGAAGAAGUUCAAAACGAGGAAAGAUAUGAGGCCGUUCAAAAUGAUCAGCUUGAUAAGAGGAAUGCACGUUACAUCACAUUUAACUGCAGAGAGGCAAAGCUCCAGUAGAUACAGCUUUUGGACAGUAUUGCAUUUUUAUGUGACUGCUGCAGAGGACAAGCUAGACAAUGCAUGCAGCCCGUUGAAGGUCAAGGAUUCCAACCUCCUGGAUCAACUUUAGUGAGAUACAUUAUGCUUUACCAUCAGUAGUCAGAUUAAUCUUGACAGCGUGAAUCUUCAGUUGGUAAUUAAUUAUGGCAUAGAUUUUGUAUCUCGCACUCUAAAGUCUGUGUUGUAAAAUUUGUGAAAAAACUAAUUCAAUUCUUCCUUUCUGUGCCCCAUAAACCAUCAAUUAUUCCAGAGCAGCUAUUUAUAUUCAAAAUGGGAUUGUGUUGCAGAGGAGCUAUGUGGCACAAGUGACCAGAUUUUGCACUUUUACUUG